rnacentral:lncRNA from 1 species
AUAAACCAGUAGAAUUGCUUGUCAGUUCUGGGAGUUGGGAGGGAAGAGGAAGGGAGAGAACAUGAAUCAUGUAACCAUGGAAAAAUGUUCUAAAAAAAAUAAUGUGAAAAAAGUUAAAAAAAGAGAGGGAUUCUUUCCUGAUAAAUUUAUUAGGGCUAAGAGGGAUAGGAUGACUGAUUGAUAAACUUAAUUACCCUCCACAUUUAUCAUCUUUGAUAGGGUGGCAGAAUCUAAAGACAUCUUAGGAAUUCAGGAGAGAUCUCUCCUUUAUUUUAAUAAUAUUUUAUAUUUCCUCAAUUACAUUUAAAAUAAUUUUAACACUCAUUUAUUAAAUAAAGCUUUGAGUUCUAAAUUUUCUACUUCAUUCCAGAUCUUUCUCCCUCAUUCUCUCUUACCCUUCUUUCUUCCCUGAAAUAGCAAGCAAUCUGAUACAGAUUUUACAUGUGCAAUCAUGUAAACCAUUUUUCUACAUUGGCCAUUCUUCCCCAUUCCCUCCCAUGCACCUCUUUAUGUUAUAUAAUUUAUCCUAUUUUUAUUCUUCCUGAUUCCAGGUUAAGGUGACUGCUGUGUAGAAGCAGUCUCUUCUUCUCCUUACCACUGACCAAUAUAGACUACCUCAAAAGGCCAAAAAAACCCAAAUUCAGAUGAACUAAGGGACUCCACAGUAGGACACAUCAUUGAAGGGCUGAGGAUGAUGGCUGGGCAAGUCAGAGAGACUGGAGGCAUGGAGAACAACUGUACUAGAUGAAGCAAGAAAUGGAAAGGAACUGAAUUGGGGUGAUGGCUGCGUGAACAGAGGAGACAGACAAAAGAGACAAGGUGGCAUCGAGAAGAAGCGUUUACAUAGCACUUUAAUACUGAUUCUGUUGGGAGCAAUGGGAGGUCAGAGUCCCAAGGAGAGAAGUGCCCAUGUCAAUGACCAGAGGAAUGUGAUAGAAGCCUUCUCUUAGAUUAAAAAAAGUAUGUGGAUUACCAUAUUAUUCAAACUGUCUCUUUGUUAAUGUGCAAUUGUCUCUACCUACCUGGUCCAAGUUCAUUUUAUUUUUUCUAAUUAUCCAUUUCAUUGAUGAAAUUUGUGACACUUAUUUGGCUCCAGUUAUCCCUGAUGUUAUGCAAAGCACAUU